rnacentral:rRNA from 1 species
UACGUAGGGGGCAAGCGUUGUCCGGAUUCAUUGGGCGUAAAGAGCGUGUAGGCGGCCAGAUAGGUCAGCUGUGAAAACUCGGGGCUCAACCCUGAGACGUCGGUUGAAACCAUGUGGCUAGAGUCCGGAAGAGGAGAGUGGAAUUCCUGGUGUAGCGGUGAAAUGCGCAGAUAUCAGGAAGAACACCGGCGGCGAAGGCGGCCCUCUGGAUCGUUGCUGACGCUGAGACGCGAAAGCGUGGGGAGCAAACAGG